rnacentral:rRNA from 1 species
ACUCCUACGGGAGGCAGCAGUGAGGAAUAUUGGUCAAUGGUCGCAAGACUGAACCAGCCAUGCCGCGUGCAGGAUGAAGCAUCUAUGGUGUGUAAACUGCUUUUGUACGGGAAGAAACACCUCUUCGUGAAGAGGCUUGACGGUACCGUAAGAAUAAGGAUCGGCUAACUCCGUGCCAGCAGCCGCGGUAAUACGGAGGAUCCAAGCGUUAUCCGGAAUCAUUGGGUUUAAAGGGUCCGUAGGCGGCAUUAUAAGUCAGUGGUGAAAUCCGGCAGCUCAACUGUCGAACUGCCAUUGAUACUGUAGUGCUUGAAUAAUUGUGAAGUAACUAGAAUAUGUAGUGUAGCGGUGAAAUGCUUAGAUAUUACAUGGAAUACCAAUUGCGAAGGCAGGUUACUAACAAUUCAUUGACGCUGAUGGACGAAAGCGUGGGUAGCGAACAGGAUUAGAUACCCUGGUAGGCGUAGU